UCGAAGAAGAAGAUGGGAGGAGGAGGGGGGUCCGGUGGGUAUAAGACGCCUUUCCGUUUCCGACCUCAGAUCGGACGAGAUUACCCGCUGAAUUUAAGCAUAUCACUAAGCGGAGGAAAAGAAACU
rnacentral:rRNA from 1 species